rnacentral:lncRNA from 1 species
AAGCAAGCAACAUCAUCUUUAAAGUUUUUCAAGACUCAGGGAUCCAGUUUGGAAGUGAGCGAAACCAGGAGCUGUUUCAGCAAAGAGGUGAGCCAUCGGAUGAACUUGCCACAUCCACAUGUGGACUGUGAAUCAGCCUUGUUGGGUUGUUUGCCUUCUCGAAAGAAUGAAUGCCAACAGAAGGGACAUAGUGACCCUUAAGGACACGCCAAAUGAAGAAAAGAAUCCUGUCCCA